GCGAGAGUGGCGGAACUGGCAGACGCGCCAGACUUAGGAUCUGGUGAGGAAACUCAUAGGGGUUCGAGUCCCCUCUCUCGCA
rnacentral:tRNA from 1 species